AGAGUUUGAUCAUGGCUCAGGACGAACGCUGGCAGCGUGGAUAAGGCAUGCAAGUCGAGUGCUACCUUUUAGGCAAGCACGGCAAACGGGUUAGUAAUGCAUAAGAAUCUACCCUAAAGUUGCGCAUAACCCAGUGAAAUCUGGGAUAAUACGCAAUAUGUUCUACGGAAUAAAGCCUUCGGGCGCUUUAGGAGGAGCUUAUGUGCUAUCAGCUAGUUGGUGAGGUAAUGGCUCACCAAGGCGAUGACGGCUAGGGGGCGUGAGAGCGUGUUCCCCAACAUUGGCACUGAGACACUGGCCAAACACCUACGGGUGGCUGCAGUCGAGAAUCUUCCACAAUGGGCGAAAGCCUGAUGGAGCGACGCUGCGUGCGGGAUGAAGGUCUUCGGAUCGUAAACCGCUUUUGUAGAGGACGAAUUAGCCUACUUCGGUAGGCGAUGACGGUACUCUUUCGAAUAAGAGGUUGCUAACUCUGUGCCAGCAGCAGCGGUAAUACAGAGACCUCGAGCGUUGUCCGGAUUUACUGGGCGUAAAGAGUCUGUAGGGGGUUUGUCAAGUUCCAAGUUAAAUACUAAGGCUCAACUUUAGUUUCGCUUGGAAAACUGACAAGCUGGAGCGUGUAAGAGGUGCAUAGAACUCAUGGUGUAGGAGUGAAAUCCGUUGAUAUCAUGGGGAAUACCAAAGGCGAAAGCAUUGCACUGGGACACUGCUGACCCUGAGAGACGAAAGCGUGGGGAGCGAAAAGGAUUAGAUACCCUUGUAGUCCACGCCGUAAACGAUGAGUGUUAGAUGUUCGGGGAUUCGACCCCCCGGGCGUCGCAGCUAACGCGUUAAACACUCCGCCUGGGAAGUACGGCCGCAAGGCUAAAACUCAAAGGAAUAGACGGGGAUCCGCACAAGCGGUGGAGCGUCUGGUUUAAUUCGACAACAAGCGUGGAACCUCACCAAGGUUUGACAUCUUGUGACAGCUCUGGAAACAGAGUCUUCUUCGGACACAAAGACAGGUGCUGCAUGGUCGUCGUCAGUUCGUGCCGUGAGGUGUUCCGUUCAGUCGGGAAACGAACGCAACCCUUAUCGCAUGUUAUAAUUUCACAUGCGAGACUGCCUAGGUUAACUAGGAGGAAGGUGGGGAUGACGUCAGAUCAGCAUGGCCCUUAUACCUUGGGCUACACAGGCGCUACAAUGGUAGGUACAAAGGGUAGCUUAGUUGUGAAACGAAGCCAAUCCCAAAAACCUAUCUCAGUUCGGAUUGAAGGCCGAAACUCGCCUUCAUGAAGCCGGAAUCGCUAGUAAUCGUGAAUCAGCCACGUCACGGUGAAUAUGUUCCCGG
rnacentral:rRNA from 1 species